rnacentral:tRNA from 1 species
GCCUGAGUGGCUUAGUCAGUUAAGCAACCAACUUUGGCUCAGGUCAUGAUCUCAUGGUUUGUGGGUUCAAGCCCCAUGUCAGGCU